CGGGUCAGGGGGGGCCACCCGCUGAUUUUAACCAUUUCAAUAAGCGAAGGAAAAAAAUUUUACA
rnacentral:rRNA from 1 species